UACCCUCCAAACACUUACCGUUAAAACGAAAGGCUCAUCUUUAACUUCCUUCUCUUUCACAGUGUUGACACUCUCCUCAUCUUCCCAUAAACCCUAAUUUCUCAAUAUUUUGGGAAGAAAAUAUGCAAGCAACAUCUGUUGUAUUCAAUACCAAGCCUGUUCUUGCUCCAAUUCAUGUCAAGAGUUUAUAUAGUGACCCAUACUCAUCUUCGUUGGUAGCAUCUCAAUCUAAUUGGGUUAAUAGGAAAAAGAGCAUUAAGUUGCGUUCUCGUAGGCAAUCUCAAAAUCGAUCUUAUCUUAUCCAACAUAAGCUCCAGAAUGUGCAGGGAAGAUGUCUUCAUCAGAAUGUGGAGCAAUUAAACAGAGCCAAUAUAUUAAAUCGGAGGCAACCUGUUUCGUGUUUUCUUUAUCCUCAAACCAAACAGAUUCUUGUCAAAGGACCAAAAAAUGGAGUCUUUCUUGACAAGUCUAGCUUUCAUCUGUCAAAGCAGCCUCGUGCCAAUGUCAAAAAAUUGGAGGUUCCACGGGCAACUGUUGGCCCAGAUGAACCUCAUGCAGCAGGUACAGCAUGGCCAGAUGGUGUGUUAGAGAAACAAGGAUUUGAUAUGCUUGAUCCUGAAGUAGAGAGAGCAGAGUUUGAACAGUUUUUGAGAUCUGGACUUCCAUGUCACCCGAAAUUGCACAGAGGGCAGCUCAAAAAUGGACUUCGCUACCUCAUUCUACCUAAUAAAGUUCCUCCAAAUAGAUUUGAAGCACACAUGGAAGUUCAUGUUGGAUCAAUUGAUGAGGAAGAUGAUGAGCAAGGAAUUGCCCAUAUGAUUGAACAUGUUGCUUUUCUCGGAAGUAAGAAGCGCGAGAAACUUUUGGGAACUGGGGCACGAUCAAAUGCCUACACAGAUUUUCAUCAUACAGUGUUCCACAUCCAUUCACCCACUAGCACGAAGGGCUCAGAAGGCGAUUGUCUUCCAGUGGUCCUAGAUGCUCUGAAUGAGAUCGCUUUCCAUCCCAAGUUUCUUUCUUCGCGAGUUGAGAAAGAAAGACGUGCAAUACUGUCAGAGCUACAAAUGAUGAAUACUAUAGAAUACCGUGUUGAUUGCCAGUUGUUACAACACUUGCAUUCCGAGAACAAGCUGAGCAAAAGAUUCCCAAUUGGGCUGGAAGAGCAGAUCAAGAAAUGGGAUGCCGAUAAAAUCAGAAAAUUUCAUGAACGUUGGUACUUUCCAGGAAAUGCCACCUUAUACAUUGUGGGAGAUAUAGAUAACAUUUCACAGACCAUUUACCAUAUUGAAGAUGUUUUUGGGCAAACCGAAAUGGAUAAUGAGUCUAAUUCAGCACCUAAUCCGAGUGCUUUUGGUGCAAUGGCUAGUUUUCUAGUUCCCAAGCUGACAGUUGGACUCUCAACCAAUUCCACGCAUGAUAGGUCAUCUGUUUCGUUGGAUCAGUCCAAAGCGUUGCGGAAGGAGAGGCAUGCAGUGCGGCCUCCGGUUCAGCAUAAUUGGUCUCUUCCUGGACACAGCGAUGAUGCUAAAACACCACAGAUAUUUCAGCAUGAGUUACUACAAAAUUUCUCAAUUAAUAUGUUUUGCAAGAUUCCCGUGAAAAAGGUCCGAACAUAUGGUGAUUUGAGGAAUGUGCUAAUGAAGAGGAUAUUUCUUUCUGCUUUACAUUUCCGCAUCAACACUCGUUACAAGAGUUCAAAUCCUCCAUUCACCUCAGUUGAGCUGGAUCAUAGUGACUCUGGAAGGGAAGGGUGUACUGUGACCACUCUCACAGUGGCUGCGGAACCUAAAAAUUGGCAGAAUGCAAUCAAAGUUGCUGUGCAGGAGGUCCGAAGGCUGAAAGAAUUCGGUGUCACAAAGGGUGAGUUAGCUCGUUAUACGGAUGCCUUGCUGAAAGAUAGUGAACAGUUAGCUGCUAUGAUCGACAAUGUUUCAUCAGUGGAUAAUCUGGAUUUUGUUAUGGAGAGUGAUGCACUUGGCCAUACUGUUAUGGAUCAAAGCCAAGGGCAUGAAAGCUUGCUUGCUGUUGCUGGAACAAUCACUUUGGAGGAGGUAAAUGCCACUGGUGCUGAAGUGUUGGAAUAUAUUUCUGAUUUUGGAAAACCAUCAGCACCACUUCCUGCAGCAAUUGUUGCAUGUGUUCCAACAAAGGUGCAUGUUGAAGGAGGAGGAGGAGAAGAUGAAUUCAGAAUAUCUCCAGAGGAGAUUACAAGUGCUAUCAAAUCAGGUCUGAAGGAACCAAUUGAGCCAGAGCCGGAGCUUGAGGUGCCUACAGAGUUGAUCACAUCAGAACAACUUGAAGAACUGAGGUGUAAGAGGUGUCCAUCCUUUCUCCCAGUGGAGACAGAUUCAAAUAUCACUAAAUCCUAUGACGAUGAAACUGGGAUCGUUCAAAGACGUCUUUCAAAUGGUAUUCCUAUAAAUUAUAAGAUUACAAAAGAUGAAGCCAAUUGUGGGGUGAUGAGACUUAUCGUUGGAGGUGGACGGGCAGCUGAAAGUUCUCAUGAAAAGGGUUCCGUGAUUGUGGGUGUUCGUACUCUGAGUGAAGGAGGCCGUGUUGGAAACUUUUCAAGAGAACAGGUAGAGCUUUUCUGUGUGAAUCACCUAAUAAAUUGCUCACUGGAGUCAACAGAAGAAUUUAUCUGCAUGGAGUUCCGUUUUACUUUGCGGGACAAUGCAAUGCGUGCUGCUUUCCAGUUACUUCAUAUGGUGCUUGAGCAUAGCGUUUGGCUGGAUGAUGCAUUUGACCGAGCUAAACAGUUGUACAUGUCAUAUUACCGCUCUAUCCCUAAGAGUUUAGAACGCUCAACUGCCCAUAAGCUCAUGCUAGCUAUGCUAAAUGGAGAUGAACGCUUUGUUGAGCCAACUCCACAUUCAUUACAAAACUUAAAUCUGGAAAGCGUAAGAGCGGCUGUAAUGGAUCAAUUCGUCAGUGACAACAUGGAGGUGAGUAUGGUUGGAGACUUCUCAGAGGAAGAUAUUGAGUCAUGCAUUCUUGACUACUUGGGAACUGUCAGACCAACAAAAGGUUUUGAGAAAGCACAGCAAUACAGCCCAAUCUUGUUUAGUGCUGCUCCCUUUAGUUUGCAGCAUCAGCAAGUAUAUUUAAAGGAUACAGAUGAGAGAGCAUGUGCUUAUAUUGCCGGCCCAGCACCUAACCGCUGGGGAUUUACUUUUGAGGGGAGCGAUCUUUUUGAGUCUGUUGUCAAUCCAUCUGCAAAUGACCUGAAUUUCUUUCCAGAUGAGUUGGAACAAAGCAACACGAACCUACAAGGACGAAUCCGUAACCAUCCUCUGUUUUUUGCCAUUGCGAUGGGUCUAUUGGCUGAGAUCAUAAACUCCAGGCUUUUCACAACUGUUAGGGACUCUCUCGGACUGACAUAUGAUGUUUCAUUUGAACUUAACCUUUUUGACCGGUUGAAGCUUGGGUGGUAUGUCAUCUCAGUGACUUCAACCCCUGGAAAGGUGCACAAAGCUGUUGAUGCUUGCAAGAAUGUCAUAAGAGGUCUGCAUAGCAACAGGGUUGCACCGAGGGAAUUGGACCGGGCAAGACGAACACUGCUUAUGCGACAUGAAGCCGAAAUUAAGUCAAAUGCCUAUUGGCUUGGAUUGUUAUCUCAUUUACAAUCACCUUCUGUACCUAGGAAGGACAUCUCUUGCAUCAAAGAUCUCACUUUGUUGUAUGAAAAUGCUACCAUUGAAGACGUAUAUGUUGCCUAUGAGCAGUUGAAGAUAGAUGAGAACUCUUUGUACUCUUGCAUUGGUGUCGCCGGGGCUCAGGCUGGAGAAGAUGUUUCUGGUAAAAUAAUGGGUUCCUGAACGGGUUUGAAUUGCUUUAGCCUCAUUAGAAGUGGAAGAAAUAGAUGAUGGCCUUCAAGGUAUUGUGCCCAUGGGACGUGGGUCAUCUACAGUGACACGUCCAACUACAUGAUUCAUUGGCAGAAAAAUUGUUGAUCAGAUAAGGUGGUAGGUUAGCAUAUACGUGUAAAAGGUUUACACGACAAGCUAGUGCAUCUGACAUGAUUAUUGACUUGUGGCUAAGAGGAGGUUUAGGAUCUUUGAAGGUCUGAAACCUUCAGAAGUCCCCCCCCAAAAAAAAAGAAGCAAUUGGAGCUACUUCUUUGAUGGCUUGUGCAAAUAACUACUAUCCUUGAGGCCAAAGCAAGAUUAUUUGCAGAAGUGACAGCAUUUUACUCUGGUCAUCCAUUGAUCCUUUCUCAAUGUAUCGACUGUUCAAUGAUAAAGUCCACAUAGUUUUUUUUUUUUCAACACAGAUCGAGUAGCUGUUGUAUUGCUCCCAUAGUUGAUGUAUAGAUUCUAUAGUUGGGGAUUUUUCUUUAUCCCCUGUAUUUGUUGAGGAAAGGAACGAACUGACAGAUUACAACGGUUCAUGUAUUGUGUACAUACAUUAGUGCAGAUGCAGAAUGUACUUGCAUUCUUUUCUA